rnacentral:sRNA from 1 species
ACCAGAGGCUGAGGUUUCGAGGAGCGGCUGCGGAGCGUGAGGUGCAGGGAGUGCUGCACCUCUUCUCGCGGGCCCCCU